CACCCUGACAAUGGGCAAAGAGACACCUUGUGGGUGGUCUUAUUCUUCGAUCAGUUGGGACAGAGAGCUGGUGGCAAUCCUUUGUUCAUUCUAGCUUGAUCCCUGACUUGAUGACCGAAGCUGUUUUAUACCCAGGACACAUAA